AGCAGCCGCGGUAAUUCCAGCUCCAAUAGCGUAUAUUAAAGUUGUUGCAGUUAAAAAGCUCGUAGUUGAAUUUCGGGAUCGACGGGUCGGUCGCGCCUCUGGUGUGUACUGGCCCUGUCGGUUUCUCCCUUCUGAAGAACCGCGAUGUCAUUAAUUUGAUGUCGUGGGAAAUCAGGACUGUUACUUUGAAAAAAUUAGAGUGUUUAAAGCAGGCAUUCGCUUGAAUACAUUAGCAUGGAAUAAUGAAAUAGGACGUUUGAUCUUAUUUUGUUGGUUUCUAAGAUCGACGUAAUGAUUAAUAGGGAUAGUUGGGGGCAUUAGUAUUCAAUUGUCAGAGGUGAAAUUCUUGGAUUUAUUGAAGACUAACUACUGCGAAAGCAUUUGCCAAGGAUGUUUUCAUUAAUCAAGAACGAAAGUUAGGGGAUCGAAGACGAUCAGAUACCGUCGUAGUCUUAACCAUAAACUAUGCCGACUAGGGAUCGGAUGAUGUUAAUUUUUUAAUGUACUCAUUCGGCGUCCG
rnacentral:rRNA from 1 species